GAAACUUCUCCAAGUUAUAUAAACUGCAGACACCGCUUCUUGCCUGCUGCCCUUACUAUUUCACUAUAUAGCUUGGAACAUACUCUUCUGCAUUCAAGUUCUUAUCUUUCCCUUUAUCAAAAGAGAAAGUUGGCAUCUUUGCUUUGGAGCACUUUGUUCCUUUAUUUAGAACCAAUCUCUCUGUUAAAUUUAUUAGCCAUUGAUAGGGGACUUAUAUUAAAGCAUAAGUCCUUUAGGUGUUCAAUUCAUUCUUGGAAAACUACAUCUUUUGAUGUUCAAGAACAUGCCCCCAAAUUGAUCAUCAGCCAAGCAGUCAACUAGGUUCGACGUUUCCUUAGGCAGUGUACAUGAAUCUAUAGUCUCAUAUUAGACAAUUUUUCAUCUCACCUACCAUCAGUAUUUGGCCUCCAAUACGGGAGCAAUGUAAUAGUGUGUGCUUU
rnacentral:lncRNA from 1 species